ACCUUCUUCAAAUGUAGUAGAUAUGUAAUUUAACUAACUUCAAAUUUCAUUUUUAAUUUCAAUCAGCUGUGAUUCUCUUCCACAAAAUGAAAAUUUCUAACACUGUAAAUUACCUGCUGUGGAAACCAUGAUAUGUGUGUGCCUUUCGCUUGAACUCAGACAUGGACUAGAUCUCUUUGGAUAUAAGAUUGUUGAUGAAUGGAGGUCAUAGAUUUCUAAUGAUCAAGUUGCUGGUACAUCUGAGCUUGAGCAUGGUGCAGUAUCUCUUCCACCAGUCCACCGGGUCUUUUCCCGCAUGCCUGAGAUGAAGAUGGAUUAGAUGAGCAAAUCGAGGAUUUUUGUUGAUUACUUGUUGUACACAUUUUGGGUUACCGUUUGUUUUGGCAUUUACUACAAAAAUAUACUUUUAAUUAUACAUUUUUUGUGGUUGUACUAGAUUAUUUAUGUUCAAUUUUAAGUUCAAAAGACUUUUCUUUUUAUUAUAAUUGAAUACAUUAGAUUUGUGGUU